AUUGAACGCUGGCGGCAGGCCUAACACAUGCAAGUCGAACGAGUGGCGGACGGGUGAGUAAUGACUGGGAAAAGGCCUGAUGGAGGGGGAUAAAUACUGGAAACGGUAGCUAAUACCGCAUACCAUCAGAAGUGCCGAGAUGGGAUUAGCUAGUUGGUGGGGUAACGGCUCACCAAGGCGACGAUCCCUAGCUGGUCGGAGAGGAUGACCAGCACCACUGGAACUGAGACACGUUCCAGACUCCUACGGGAGGCAGCAUUGGGGAAUAUUGCACAAUUGGCGCAAGCCUGAUGCAUCCAUGCCGCGUGUCUGAAGAAGGCCUUCGGGUUGUAAAGUACUUUCAGCGGUGAGGCGUUACCCGCAGAAGAAGCACCGGCUAACUCCGUGCCAGCAGCCGCGGUAAUAC
rnacentral:rRNA from 1 species